UAAACCUGUUCCUCCUGGUCUGUAAAAUACAAUAAACCUGUUCCUCCUGGUCUAGUUCUGUAAAAUACAAUAAACCUGUUCCUCCUGGUCUAGUGUGUUAAAUACAAUAAACCUGUUCCUCCUGGUCUAGUCUGUUAAAUACAAUAAACCUGUUCCUCCUGGUCUGUAAAAUACAAUAAACCUGUUCCUCCUGGUCUGUAAAAUACAAUAAACCUGUUCCUCCUGGUCUGUAAAAUACAAUAAACCUGUUCCUCCUGGUCUAGUGUGUUAAAUACAAUAAACCUGUUCCUCCUGGUCUAGUCUGUAAAAUACAAUAAACCUGUUCCUCCUGGUCUGUAAAAUACAAUAAACCUGUUCCUCCUGGUCUAGUGUG